AGUGAACGCUGGCGGUAGGCCUAACACAUGCAAGUCGAACGGCAGCACAGUAAGAGCUUGCUCUUACGGGUGGCGAGUGGCGGGCGGGUGAGGAAUACAUCGGAAUCUACUUUUUCGUGGGGGAUAACGUAGGGAAAGUUACGCUACUACCGCAUACGACCUACGGGUGAAAGCAGGGGAUCUUCGGACCUUGCGCGAUUGAAUUAGCCGAUGUCGGAUUAGCUAGUUGGCGGGGUAAAGGCCCACCAAGGCGACGAUCCGUAGCUGGUCUGAGAGGAUGAUCAGCCACACUGGAACUGAGACACGGUCCAGACUCCUACGGGAGGCAGCAGUGGGGAAUAUUGGACAAUGGGCGCAAGCCUGAUCCAGCCAUACCGCGUGAGUGAAGAAGGCCUUCGGGUUGUAAAGCCCUUUUGUUGGGAAAGAAAAGCAGCAGGUGAAUACCCCGCUGUUCUGACGGUACCCAAAGAAUAAGCACCGGCUAACUUCGUG
rnacentral:rRNA from 1 species